GCCAAGAUGACAUGUUUGGAAAAAUAUGUUUCACUAAGUUAACUUACAUUUACAUCAUUAUUUCAUUCUUUUUCUUAUAUAUUUGGAUAUUUAUUCUUUAAAUGUUUAUGAUUAUGAUUGGGUGGGUAGCUGAAAGCCCUACCAACUGUCAUCCAUGAUUUGUCAGUAACUCCAAAUGCUACCUCAAAAAUAGAAGGAUAGUUCUCUUAUAUGUUUGAAUAUUUUCAAAUCUUUCAUGAUUCCACAGGCAAUUAUUCAUCUAGAAGCAAUCAUUUUUAAAUAUUUGAUUUGUUAACUAGUGUAGGCAGCCUUUAUUGGGGAAUGUAAUGCAUCAUGAAUGCCAAGAAGCUGGAGCUGGAGUAUUCAUGUAUUUGAAGUGUUGCUUACAUGGUUCAAGAGUAUUUAUGUUAACCUUUGUUCUUUGCAGAGAAUUGGUUCCAUUUCUAAUUAAUGAUUUUUAGAAUCAAAAGGAUGUAGCAGGAAAUGAACUUAUAUAAGAUCUUGGAAAUGAACCUAGAAGAUGAAGCAUUUUAAUGGUUAUUCAUUGACUUUUUUAGAUCUUGGAAAUGACCCAGAAGAUAAAGCUGAGGAAGAUGGUGCCGAUGUUGAUCUUGACUCAUGAAGGAAGGGGAAGUGUGUCGUUCUAUAAACAUCUACAAGCCAAAUCUCAUCUUCUUCAUGUGUGCCACUUUAUGGGACUGUUCAAUAUACAUGGAAGGCCAAUGGAAGCUACUAACACCAUCCUCAUUAUAAAAUCCUAAUAGUGAGUUGCCAUCAGAGAAACUCUGACAUGUUCAAAAACUCGAGAAUUUAGAUUCGAUGUUCAGCCGGGUCUUAAAGUGAUUAGAUCUUACUGUACAUUUGAUAACAUGUAUACUUAUAUGUUGUUGGUUUUGAUGAUGCUAAUUAUCUAUGAUAUGUAAAAACAGAUGGUGGUGAGAAAAUAAACCCACACUCAAAGGGCUGGGAUCAUCUGAUUUAGCCCACCCUUUUGUGUAGUCUUUGUGAGAUGUCAUGUAAUAACCUUGUUGCAUGCCAUGCCACCUAAUUUGCGAUUCGCUUAAUUGAAACUUUUGAUUGUUCAUUAAUUCAAAAGGUCUCUCCAUGGACAUGGAUUGGCUGGAA